GCCUGGCCUCCGCGGUUGGUUCGGCGGCCGCGGGGCUGCAGCUCCCGGCUCGCACUCCAUCAUCGACGGAUGACAGCGGGAACGGUGGGAGUUCAUUACAGGGACCAUGAAUUGUUGGAGAGGAAUCUGAAGAAACGUGCUGGAUGUCCCCAGAGAAGGAGCUGAACCAUUUGAGUGGGGGCUUCACUGACUCUCCCCACACACAGGGCACCGGGGGAGAGCAGUCACAUGACCGGCAGGCGGGGGUUUUGACCCUGGUGGGAGGGGAUGAGGAGGGCACCAGUCCGGCCCUGAGACAACCCCCAAGACCAGCCCUGACUGGGACACUCUGCAGGAUGUCAAGCAGUGCCCCCAAAAGCUGUCAAGGCCGUCCUAGACCAGCGGGGCCUCAGGAGAUGGUGCAGAGUCCUGGACCAGACAAACGGCACUGGGAAAGCAGGAGCCCAAAGGAAGGCUGGAAUUCAGGGAAGAGCCACGUGCCAGGCUGUGACGAAGGCGACAAGAUGAAACAGUAGGGGGGCGGGGGAGGCAUCCAAACUCUAUGUGCUGUCUUUGCACUACUCUGUAAAUCUAACAUUAUUCGGAAGUGAAAGUUAAAAAUCA
rnacentral:lncRNA from 1 species